UGAGUCGACCCCUAAGGCGAGGCCGAAAGGCGUAGUCGAUGGGAAACAGGUUAAUAUUCCUGUACUUGGUGUUACUGCGAAGGGGGGACGGAGAAGGCUAUGUUGGCCGGGCGACGGUUGUCCCGGUUUAAGCGUGUAGGCUGGUUUUCCAGGCAAAUCCGGAAAACCAAGGCUGAGGCGUGAUGACGAGGCACUACGGUGCUGAAGCGACAAAUGCCCUGCUUCCAGGAAAAGCCUCUAAGCAUCAGGUAACAUCAAAUCGUACCCCAAACCGACACAGGUGGUCAGGUAGAGAAUACCAAGGCGCUUGAGAGAACUCGGGUGAAGGAACUAGGCAAAAUGGUGCCGUAACUUCGGGAGAAGGCACGCUGAUAUGUAGGUGAAGCGACUUGCUCGUGGAGCUGAAAUCAGUCGAAGAUACCAGCUGGCUGCAACUGUUUAUUAAAAACACAGCACUGUGCAAACACGAAAGUGGACGUAUACGGUGUGACGCCUGCCCGGUGCCGGAAGGUUAAUUGAUGGGGUUAGCGGUAACGCGAAGCUCUUGAUCGAAGCCCCGGUAAACGGCGGCCGUAACUAUAACGGUCCUAAGGUAGCGAAAUUCCUUGUCGGGUAAGUUCCGACCUGCACGAAUGGCGUAAUGAUGGCCAGGCUGUCUCCACCCGAGACUCAGUGAAAUUGAACUCGCUGUGAAGAUGCAGUGUACCCGCGGCAAGACGGAAAGACCCCGUGAACCUUUACUAUAGCUUGACACUGAACAUUGAGCCUUGAUGUGUAGGAUAGGUGGGAGGCUUUGAAGUGUGGACGCCAGUCUGCAUGGAGCCGACCUUGAAAUACCACCCUUUAAUGUUUGAUGUUCUAACGUUGGCCCGUAAUCCGGGUUGCGGACAGUGUCUGGUGGGUAGUUUGACUGGGGCGGUCUCCUCCUAAAGAGUAACGGAGGAGCACGAAGGUUGGCUAAUCCUGGUCGGACAUCAGGAGGUUAGUGCAAUGGCAUAAGCCAGCUUGACUGCGAGCGUGACGGCGCGAGCAGGUGCGAAAGCAGGUCAUAGUGAUCCGGUGGUUCUGAAUGGAAGGGCCAUCGCUCAACGGAUAAAAGGUACUCCGGGGAUAACAGGCUGAUACCGCCCAAGAGUUCAUAUCGACGGCGGUGUUUGGCACCUCGAUGUCGGCUCAUCACAUCCUGGGGCUGAAGUAGGUCCCAAGGGUAUGGCUGUUCGCCAUUUAAAGUGGUACGCGAGCUGGGUUUAGAACGUCGUGAGACAGUUCGGUCCCUAUCUGCCGUGGGCGCUGGAGAACUGAGGGGGGCUGCUCCUAGUACGAGAGGACCGGAGUGGACGCAUCACUGGUGUUCGGGUUGUCAUGCCAAUGGCACUGCCCGGUAGCUAAAUGCGGAAGAGAUAAGUGCUGAAAGCAUCUAAGCACGAAACUUGCCCCGAGAUGAGUUCUCCCUGACUCCUUGAGAGUCCUGAAGGAACGUUGAAGACGACGACGUUGAUAGGCCGGGUGUGUAAGCGCAGCGAUGCGUUGAGCUAACCGGUACUAAUGAACCGUGAGGCUUAACC
rnacentral:rRNA from 1 species